rnacentral:tRNA from 1 species
UAUUUUUUAGUGUAAAAUGCACAAAGAUUUUUGAAAUCUCUAGAAAUAGUUUAAUUCUAUUAAAAAUAAUU